rnacentral:piRNA from 1 species
UGGAGCCGUCCUAGCAGGUGCCCAGA